rnacentral:rRNA from 1 species
AGAGUUUGAUCCUGGCUCAGGAUGAACGCUGGCGGCGUGCCUAACACAUGCAAGUCGAACGGGUGUACAGAAGGGAAGAUUUCGGUCGGAAGAACUGUGCAUGAGUGGCGGACGGGUGAGUAACGCGUGGGCAACCUGGCCUGUACAGGGGGAUAACACUUAGAAAUAGGUGCUAAUACCGCAUAACGGGAGAAGCCGCAUGGCUUUUUCCUGAAAACUCCGGUGGUACAGGAUGGGCCCGCGUCUGAUUAGCCAGUUGGCAGGGUAACGGCCUACCAAAGCGACGAUCAGUAGCCGGCCUGAGAGGGCGGACGGCCACACUGGGACUGAGACACGGCCCAGACUCCUACGGGAGGCAGCAGUGGGGGAUAUUGCACAAUGGGGGAAACCCUGAUGCAGCGACGCCGCGUGGGUGAAGAAGCGCCUCGGCGCGUAAAGCCCUGUCAGCAGGGAAGAAAAUGACGGUACCUGAAGAAGAAGCCCCGGCUAACUACGUGCCAGCAGCCGCGGU